GGUAUUGUAAGGAAUGUAUUUGAAGGUCACGUACCUGGGGAAGUAAACUUUGAUGUAUGUAAAUUAAGUUCGAAUGUAUUAUUAUUUAGUAUUAUUCAGCUUAAAGAAAUGGUAUCGUGGAGAACCGAGUUCGGGUUACAAGUACCCGGAUUUGGGGUCGCCACAUUUCAAGAAGAAGAUAUUCAAAAAUAAUGGAAAGACAUAAGCAUCAACACCUGUCGUUG
rnacentral:lncRNA from 1 species